GUUGUAAACAAGGGACCAGGACAGCCUAGGGAAACAGUCACAUGACAUCUGGAGGAGGGAAUGCACCUUACUAAAGCCAAGGGCAAAGGAUACUCCUCCCACUGCUCAACUUGAAUAAAGAUGAAAAACUGAACUUGACAGCACAAAAAAUAGAAGACUCCUUCGCAGUGCUGAGAAAGGACUGUGAUCAAGACAGUUUGAAUCUGAAUUGGCUUAAGAGAAGAAAGACAGGCAGUGUGAGCAUGUCAGCUGCCUGAACCGACACACCAUGGACACCCACUUUACAUAGUGAUGGGAUGGGACAUUAACACAACUGUUGGGGGGCAGGAAUUUAAGGGCUUCAUAACCAG
rnacentral:lncRNA from 1 species